GGGGUGACUAGUGACAGAGUGAGGGAAGGGGUGACUAGUGGCAGAGUGAGGGAAGGAAGGGGUGACUAGUGACACAGAGUGAGGGAGGUGGUGACUGUCACUAGUCACCACCUCCCUCACUCUGUCACUAGUCACCACCUCCCUCUGUCACUACUCCCUCCCUCCGUCUGUCACUAGUCACCCCCUCCGUCCAUUACUCUGUCACUAGUCACCCCCUAACUCACUCUGUCACUAGUCAUCCCC